GACAGGGGGUGCUAGCGUUGCUCGGAAUUACUGGGCGUAAAGCGCACGUAGGCGGUCCCGUAAGUCGGGUGUGAAAGCCCUCAGCCUAACUGAGGAACUGCGCCCGAUACUGCGGGGCUUGAGGAUGGGAGGGGAGAGUGGAAUUCCUGGUGGAGCGGUGAAAUGCGUAGAUAUCAGGAGGAAUACCAGUGGCGAAGGCGACUCUCUGGUCCAUUCCUGACGCUGAGGUGCGAAAGCUAGGGGAGCAAACGGG
rnacentral:rRNA from 1 species